GUAGUUAGCCGGGGCUUUCUUACAGGGUACCGUCACUUCUUCGUCCCCUGCGACAGAGGUUUACAAUCCGAAAACCUUCUUCUCUCACGCGGCGUUGCUGGGUCAGGCUUUCGCCCAUUGCCCAAUAUUCCCCACUGCUGCCUCCCGUAGGAGUCUGGACCGUGUCUCAGUUCCAGUGUGGCCGAUCAGCCUCUCAGCUCGGCUACCCAUCGUCGACUUGGUGAGCCGUUACCUCACCAACUAUCUAAUGGGACGCGAGCCCCUCUUUCUGCGGAUUGCUCCUUUGACCCCUUUGCCAUGCGACAUUGUGGUCUUAUGCGGUAUUAGCAUCUGUUUCCAAAUGUUAUCCCCCUCAGAAAGGCAGGUUGCUCACGCGUUACUCACCCGUUCGCCACUCAGUAAGGAGCCGAAGCUCCUUACUCCGUUCGACUUGCAUGUGUUAAGCACGCCGCCAGCGUUCGUCCUGAACCAAGAUCAAAUUCUGA
rnacentral:rRNA from 1 species